AACUCGAAAAUUGAGAACGCGUGAAAAUCAAACAGAAACCGUGAGAUGACUAUUUCGAUUAUACAUUGGAUUUUAUCAGUCGCGCUUCGGACGACGUAGAAAUAAGGUGGGCUUGUGUUAAAAGUGAUUACGGUAUUGUGGAGAUAUUGUGUGGAGAUAUAAACAUGUGCGCGCGUAACAUGAAUUCGAAGAGCUUUGUUGCGAUACAUAGAAACGAUACGAAGUCGUGAGGUUUCCAUUCUCGCAUAGGAGUAUAAUAGAAAAUACCUCACCGCGGUAUUUGAUAAAAGGGAAGAAAACCUUACGAAACAGAAGCAGAGCUAGAGCAGCUCUCCUGCCUAUACAACACCACGGAUUGAAUAGAAGCAAUUUUAGUAACGCUUCAACGCGAAAUAUAUGGCGUAUAGUUAAAGAAUUGAAGUAGACUUGAAUGAUGUUUGAAGAGUUCCGGAGAAGAAUUAACAGCAGGAUUUUGAGUUGAGUUUUUGGAUAAGGACAUCGUGUGUUGUCUUCACGUUGGACAGUUAAGCACCGAAACCGGUGAAGUGAGGACGUCUCGCAAUAUUUCAUCGUCUUCCGUAUCUCGUCAGAGUCACAGAGAGCUGCAACAUAUAAGGCUUUCAAUCAGUCACCACGGCGGUUCAUUCGUCGCAGUACUCAUUCAACUUCCAACCACGAAGGGUAGGAGUUAUACAUGGCAUCGCUUAAUUCAUUCACAGGUAUCCGAAGAUGCAGCCGCCGUAGCUGCUGUUUGACCGGACUCCCCCUGUUCAUCAGGGGGAGUCCACCCGUCCCCUGGGACUGCGCGGCCUCCCACCGCCCCCGGGGUCCC